AUGGAGGUGGCCGUCAGCGCAGCAUGGUGGGUGGUAACCAAGGCGCUGGCCCCGGUGACGGACGGCUUGCUGGAGGCAUGGGCGGCCAGCGCCGGGCUCGGCCCCAACAUCGACGCCCUCAAGAUGCAGCUACUUUACGCCCAGGGGAUGCUCAACAACGCCCAAGGGCACGGCAGGGACAUCACUAACCCUGCGCUCAAGGGGCUACUCCACAAACUGCGGCAGCUGGCGUACGUCGCGGAUGAAGCGCUGGACGAGCUGGACUACUUCCGCAUCCAGGACGUGUUGGACGGUACCUACCACGCAGCAGCUGGCGUGGAUGACCGUGGCUGCCUCCAGGGCCUCGUCCUCAAUGCUCACCACACGGCUAGAGCUGCUGCCGGGAAGAUCAAGUCCAUGAGCUCCUGCUCCCAUUCUGCUAGCCCACCUGAUGACCAAGAAGAUAUUGGUGGCAGCCGUGGACGUGCUGUUCAAGCUGUUGCUAAACACUUACCAUGCUGCUACUCUUCUCCUCAUACCAGUGAGUUGGCCGAAUCGCCCAACAUGCCAGCUGCAAGCGGAUGGUGGCUCUUCUGUGGCGCCUGCCCGCCCAAGGUACCGGCGCAGAGAGUUAACACCAAAGAGGGAACACCAAAACUGAAGUUUGAUAGGGUGGAAAUGUCCAAGAGAAUGAUAGACAUUAUAGAUCAGCUCAAGCAUGUAUGUGCUAUGGUCUCCACCAUUCUUAAUCUAGAGCUUCUGAGCUUAAGCCGUAUCCCUACCCAAGUCAGCAUUGCUAUGGAUCGACCCAAAACCACCCCACAAAUUAUAGAACCUCAACUAUAUGGGAGGGAUACCCAGAAAAAGGAAAUUAUAGAUGCCAUCACCCAUGGUGAAUAUUCUUGCAAACAACUUACUGUCCUUCCAAUUGUUGGGCCAGGGGGUGUUGGGAAGACAACCUUUACACAACACAUAUUUGAAGAAGUGAAGAGCAGUUUCCAGGUUGCAAUUUGGAUAUGUGUGUCUCUCAACUUCGUUGCCGAUAGUUUGGCACGAGAGAUUUUGGAGCAGUUCCCUAAAGAUAACAACAGUGAAAGCGAAAAUGAUAGUAGCAAAGAAGAGCAAAUUGAACAAAGGUUUAGAUCAAAGAGGUUCUUACUUGUCUUGGAUGAUGUCUGGAAAUAUCAUGACGAUGAGUGGAAAAAACUAUUAGCUCCAUUUAAAAAAGUUGGGACAGAAGGCAAUAUGGUUAUAGUCACAACUCGAAUUCCAGGGGUAGCAAACAUGAUCAGGACAGUUGACCAUUCUAUAGAAAUGGAACAUCUAGGUCUUGAAGAUAUUAUGUCUUUCUUUGAAGCAUGUGUAUUUGGUGACCAACAGCAACCAUGGCAAGAUCAUCUUGAACUAUAUGAUGUUGGCUGCAAAAUAGUGAAAAAAUUGAAGGGUUUCCCUCUUGCUGCAAAAACUGUGGGUAGAUUGCUUAAAAAGCAACUGACGUUUGACCAUUGGAUGAGAGUUUGGGAAAGUAAAGAGUGGGAGUCACAAGCUAGCGAUAAUGACAUUAUGCCAGCUCUGAAGCUUAGCUAUGAUUAUCUCCCUUUCCAUCUGCAACAAUGUCUUUCCUUCUGUGCAUUGUUUCCCGAAGAUUAUGAAUUUCAUGCAAAAGAGUUGGUUCAUUUGUGGAUUGGCCUAGGUAUUUUACACUCAGAUGAUGAAAAGAGAAGAAUCGAAGAUGUUGGAUUGUGUUACUUAACUGACUUGGUUAAUCAAGGUUUUUUCAAAAAGAAUGAAUCGAGAUUGGGCGGUCCUUAUUACACCAUCCAUGAUCUACUGCGUGAGUUGGUUGCGAAGGUCUCAUCAUAUGAGUGUCUUAGCAUAUCAAGCUCCAAUGUGAUGUGCAUACAAAUUCCCCCAUUUGUUCGGCAUCUGUCUAUCAUUGUGGAUGAUGCAGACGUCAAGGACACAAUGACUUUUGAAAACUACAAGAGGGAUUUGUGUGCGCUGGAAAAAAGGCUUGAAGUUCAGAACCUACACACUUUAAUGUUGUUUGGACAAUACCAUGGAACCUUUUCUAGGGUUUUCUGUGGUUUGUUUCGGGAAGCUAGAGCCCUUCGUACUGUUUUUUUGUCUGAUGCAUCAUAUAACAUGGAGGAUGUGUUGCCUAACUUUUCAAAACUUGUCCAUCUUCGCUACUUCAAGCUAGCUGGUUUUGGUGAUGACAAGGGCUUGUGUGUAGCUGGUGUGCUGCGUAGAUUAUAUCAUUUGGAAGUCAUUGAUCUACAAGGAUGGAGGGGUCGCUUCGGUUCAACAAGGCAUAUUAGCACCCUUGUAAAGUUACGUCAUUUUGUCGUGCCCCGAGAAGAACUUCAUUCUGACAUAUUUGAGGUGGGAAAACUAAAAUUCAUCAAUGAAUUAAAGACAUUUAGAGUGGGACAAGAAAGCAACAUGUUUGAACUGAGUCAACUAGGGAAACUGGAAAAUAUUGGAGGAUUGCUUGGCAUUUACAAUCUUGAAAAGGUGCAAUCAGAAGAAGAAGCAACUGAAUCAAGACUGAUACACAAAAGCCACAUGCAAGAGCUAAUAUUAGAAUGGUAUGUUCAGCGAUCUAACAGGGAUCCUACAUUUGAAGAAAAUGUCCUUGAACGUCUUGUACCACAUAGCAAUCUUCAACACCUACACAUUAAAGGGCAUGGAGGAACUAAUUGUCCAAGAUGGCUAGGUGUAAACCUCUCCGUAAAGAAUCUGGAAUCUCUUUAUCUGAAUGAUUUGUCUUGGGGAAACCUUCCACCUUUAGGAGAGAUGUGGAUGGUCAAUGAUCUUGGUGCAGUGUACAAGGACUGUAUCUUAGGCCAAGGAUUUCAAAAUUUGAAAAGGCUAGAAUUGGUUAAAAUACCAAGAUUGAGAAAAUGGGUUGGGGACAACAAUACUUGUCAUUUGUUCUAUCACUUGGAAGAACUCACCGUUGCAGAUUGUUCUGAACUUACCGAGCUGUGCUUUCCAGAUCUUAGUUGUGGUCUGCGACAGCAAGAGAAGAGCAUAUCUUGGUUUCCUAGACUAAAGUCUCUCGGGAUACACAACUGCCCGAAGCUAAUGUCAUUGCCUCCAACCCCUUGGACUUGUGGUCCGUGCUCCGCUGUGAUAAAUAGGGUGGGCUCCGGUCUUGAGCGGCUAGUUUACAAAGAAGACUCAACUUCAUCACUUGAAGUGCAGGGAACAUAUGGCCAGGAUAGUGUGUUCUUGAAUGGGUUGGUCUUCUCAAAUCUAACUUAUCUGAAAACAUUGGUGAUGCAGAGUUGCUCUCCUCUGCUGCUCGAUCGCCUCCUAAUGCUAAAAUCUCUGGAAUCCCUCCAGAUAAGUAACUCAAGUAAUGUAUUAUCCAUGGUUGAAAGCGUGGGCCAUGUACGAUGCCAGCUACCUGUCAAAAGGUUAAGUGUGAAGCAAUGUGGUGGCAGCGGCAAGGAAUUGACACUACUGUUCUCUCUUAUGCCAGAGCUCACCCAAAUAACAAUAGGGCGUUGUCAGGGGAUAAAAUGGCUCGGUGUGGGACAGUCGUCAGUAUAUUCUUCUGCUGAACCAUUGCAUCAGGAGCAAAUCAGACAGCAGCAGCUAAAGGAGACAGAAGGAGUGCUGCUCUUGCCUCCCCGGUUACACAAGUUUGAGAUCGGAGAGUGUCCAGAGCUGAGCUUGCUCUCUGAUUCACUGGGUGGUGACAAGGAAGGAGGUGGGCUCCAAGGUCUCCGCGCCCUCCAGUCGUUGACCAUAUUGGCUUGCCCCAAGUUACUCCACUCCUAUUCAUCCUCUUCUUUUCCUUUUCCGACCUCCCUGCAAGAAUUAUUUUUGAACGGGUGUUUCAGAGGGGAGAGCAUAGUCCCUCUCCUCGCCCAAGGCCACCUCACAAACAUCUGCAUCUACGAAAACCCCGUAUUCGCCCCUAACAAGGGGCUUCUUCUCCCCUGUUCCUCUGCACACCAAGAGCUUGAGCUAAGCACAGACGAUGUUGCAGGACUCCUUACUGCGCAUAUCUGUAGCCUCCUCUCUCCCUCCCUCACCACCCUACGACUUGGUUCGAACCAAGAUGUCGAGUACUUCACACACGAGCAAGAGGAGGCCCUUCAGCUCCUCACCUCCAUCCACACGCUCGUAUUUUCCUGUUUCAAGAAGCUGCAGUUCCUCCCAGCAGGUCUACAUAGACUUGCCAACCUCAAGACAUUACGGCUCGUUGUCUGUCAAGCCAUCCGGUCGUUGCCGGAGGACGGCCUCCCGACUUCUCUGCAAGAAUUAUGCAUCUUGAAUUGCGAUGCCUUCGAGUCGCUGCCUAUGGACAGACUCCCGAGUUCUCUGCAACAAUUGUACAUCCAUGGCUGCCAUGCCUUUAAGUCGUUGCUCAAGGACGACGGACUCCCUAGUUCGCUACAAGCCAUGGACGGACUACCAAGUUCUCUACAAAAAUUGAACAUCACGGAAUGUCCUGCCAUCGAGUCACUACCUAAGGGCAGCCUCCCAAGUUCUCUGAAAGAAUUAAACAUCCACCACUGCCCUGCCCUGACGUCUCUGCCCAAGGAUGGCCUCCCAAGCUCUCUGCAAAAAUUGAUAUUACUGGACUGCCCUGCCUUAAAGUCGCUGCCGGAGGAUGGCCUCCCAAGAUCUCUGCAGGAACUAAAGAUCGUUGGGUGUGCUGCAAUCAAUUCGCUGCCCAAGGGCGGACUCCCAAGAUCACUGCAAGUAUUGGAUGUCCGUUAUUGUGACAACGAGGAGCUAAAGAGGCAGUGCCGCAAGUUAAGAGGAACCAUUCCCAAGAUCCUAAUUUAA
rnacentral:rRNA from 1 species